UGAGGAAUAUUGGUCAAUGGGCGGGAGCCUGAACCAGCCAAGCCGCGUGAGGGAAGAAGGCCCUAUGGGUCUAAACCUCUUUUGUCAGGGAACAAAAGCGAGUAUGUAUACUAGUCUGAGUGUACCUGAAGAAAAACGCAUCGGCUAACUCCGUGCCAGCAGCCGCGGUAAUACGGAGGAUGCGAGCGUUAUCCGGAUUUAUUGGGUUUAAAGGGUGCGUAGGCGGCGAUGCAAGUCAGCGGUAAAAGCCCGGGGCUCAACCCCGGCGAGCCGUUGAAACUGCAGUGCUAGAGAAGGCGAGAGGUACGCGGAAUGCGCAGUGUAGCGGUGAAAUGCUUAGAUAUUGCGCAGAACUCCGAUUGCGAAGGCAGCGUACUGGCGCCUGACUGACGCUGAGGCACGAAAGCGUGGGGAUCGAACAGGAUUAGAUACC
rnacentral:rRNA from 1 species